rnacentral:rRNA from 1 species
UACGGAGGGUGCAAGCGUUAUCCGGAUUCACUGGGUUUAAAGGGUGCGUAGGAGGGUAGGUAAGUCAGUGGUGAAAUCUUCGAGCUUAACUCGGAAACUGCCGUUGAUACUAUCUGUCUUGAAUACCGUGGAGGUGAGCGGAGUAUGUCAUGUAGCGGUGAAAUGCUUAGAUAUGACAUAGAACACCAAUUGCGAAGGCAGCUCGCUACACGAAUAUUGACUCUGAGGCACGAAAGCGUGGGGAUCAAACAGG